GUCUCGUUAGAUCACCGAACUCAAGCAUCAUUGGGCGCGAUCAGUACUUGGGUGGGUGACCACCUGGUGGGAACACCGCGUGCCGUU